rnacentral:rRNA from 1 species
UUUAAAUUGAGAGUUUGAUCCUGGCUCAGGAUGAACGCUGGCGGCGUGCUUAACACAUGCAAGUCGAGCGAUGAAGUUUCCUUCGGGAAACGGAUUAGCGGCGGACGGGUGAGUAACACGUGGGUAACCUGCCUCAUAGAGUGGAAUAGCCUUCCGAAAGGAAGAUUAAUACCGCAUAAUGUUGAAAGAUGGCAUCAUCAUUUAACCAAAGGAGCAAUCCGCUAUGAGAUGGACCCGCGGCGCAUUAGCUAGUUGGUGGGGUAACGGCCUACCAAGGCGACGAUGCGUAGCCGACCUGAGAG